rnacentral:rRNA from 1 species
GAUGAACGCUGGCGGCGUGCCUAAUACAUGCAAGUCGAGCGAACAGACGAGGAGCUUGCUCCUCUGACGUUAGCGGCGGACGGGUGAGUAACACGUGGAUAACCUACCUAUAAGACUGGGAUAACUUCGGGAAACCGGAGCUAAUACCGGAUAACAUGUUGAACCGCAUGGUUCAACAGUGAAAGACGGUCUUGCUGUCACUUAUAGAUGGAUCCGCGCCGCAUUAGCUAGUUGGUAAGGUAACGGCUUACCAAGGCAACGAUGUGUAGCCGACCUGAGAGGGUGAUCGGCCACACUGGAACUGAGACACGGUCCAGACUCCUACGGGAGGCAGCAGUAGGGAAUCUUCCGCAAUGGGCGAAAGCCUGACGGAGCAACGCCGCGUGAGUGAUGAAGGUCUUCGGAUCGUAAAACUCUGUUAUUAGGGAAGAACAAAUGUGUAAGUAACUAUGCACGUCUUGACGGUACCUAAUCAGAAAGCCACGGCUAACUACGUG